GUUUCAAUUGAAAGGAGAUUUAGCUCUCCCCUCGACAAGGAUGGAACCCAAAAAUGGUUACGCCAUAAUUUGACUACAUUUUUGC